GGAAGGAAUUCUUCCCUCGGUCACUCCCAGACCUGUGUCCGCCCCACUGCCGGAGACCGGAGCACAGCACCGUGAGAGCAUCCCCACCCCGUCCCUCCUCCCUGCGACACCCGGCUGUGCUCUCCCCCAUCUCGCCCUCCUGUGUGACCGUUGACGACAACCUCCGGCCGGAAUUCCUGCUCCCCGAAUCCUCUCCAACCUGCGCUCCAGGGACUCCAUCCAGGCCGAUUCAUCCUCUCCAAAGAUGGCUCAAAUGAUUCCUGGAGCUUUUGAUGGUACUGGUACAGCUAUGCAUCAUAGGGUGCAGCUUUAUUCAGGUCCGAUGUCAACAUUUUAAAUGUUGAUGAUUUGUCGGAUGGCAAAAUUUGAGGAGGUACUUUUUUGUGAAUAAUUUGAGGAGGUACUGAUUGUGGAAGAUGAAAAUGGCAAUAUUUGUCGGA